rnacentral:rRNA from 1 species
UACGGAAGGCAGCAGUGGGGAAUAUUGCACAAUGGGCGAAAGCCUGAUGCAGCUAUGCCGCGUGUAUGAAGAAGGCCUUAGGGUUGUAAAGUACUUUCAUCGGGGAGGAAAAAACAAAACUAAUAAUUUUAUUUCUUGACGUUACCCGAAAAAGAAGCACCGGCUAACUCCGUGCCAGCAGCCGCGGUAAUACGGAGGGUGCUAGCGUUAAUCAGAAUUACUGGGCGUAAAGAGCACGUAGGUGGUUUUUUUAAGUCAGAUGUGAAAUCCCUGGGCUUAACCUGGAACUGCAUUUUGAAACUGAAAUACUAGAGUAUCGUAGAGGGAGGUAGAAUUCUAGGUGUAGCGGUGAAAUGCGUAGAUAUCUGGAGGAAUACCUGUGGCAAAGCGGCCUCCUAAACGAAUACUGACACUGAGGUGCGAAAGCGUGGGGAGCAAAUAGGGAUUAGGAUACC